GAUGAACGCUGGCGGCGUGCCUAAUACAUGCAAGUCGAGCGAACAGACGAGGAGCUUGCUCCUCUGACGUUAGCGGCGGACGGGUGAGUCACACGUGGAUAACCUACCUAUAAGACUGGGAUAACUUCGGGAAACCGGAGCUAAUACCGGAUAAUAUAUUGAACCGCAUGGUUCAAUAGUGAAAGACGGUUUUGCUGUCACUUCUAGAUGGAUCCGCGCCGCAUUAGCUAGUUGUUAAGGUAACGGCUUACCAAGGCGACGAUGCGUAGCCGACCUGAGAGGGUGAUCGGCCACACUGGAACUGAGACACGGUCCAGACUCCUACGGGAGGCAGCAGUAGGGAAUCUUCCGCAAUGGGCGAAAGCCUGACGGAGCAACGCCGAGUGAGUGAUGAAGGUCUUCGGAUCGUAAAACUCUGUUAUUAGGGAAGAACAAAUGUGUAAGGAACUGUGGCCGUCUUGACGGUACCUAAUAAGAAAGCAACGGCUAACUACGUG
rnacentral:rRNA from 1 species